AUUGAACGCUGGCGGCAUGCCUUACACAUGCAAGUCGAACGGCAGCGGACCUUCGGGUGCCGGCGAGUGGCGAACGGGUGAGUAAUAUAUCGGAACGUACCUUUCAGUGGGGGAUAACGUAGCGAAAGUUACGCUAAUACCGCAUAUUCUGUGAGCAGGAAAGCAGGGGAUCGCAAGACCUUGCGCUGAUUGAGCGGCCGAUAUCAGAUUAGCUAGUUGGUGAGUAAAGGCUCACCAAGGCGACGAUCUGUAGCGGGUCUGAGAGGAUGAUCCGCCACACUGGAACUGAGACACGGUCCAGACUCCUACGGGAGCAGCAGUGGGGAAUUUUGGACAAUGGCGCAAGCCUGAUCCAGCCAUGCCGCGUGAGUGAAGAAGGCCUGGUGUAAG
rnacentral:rRNA from 1 species